AGUGAACGCUGGCGGCGUGCUUAACACAUGCAAGUCGAACGAGAACGGAUUAUAGCUUGCUAUAAUUGUCAGCUAAGUGGCGCACGGGUGAGUAACGCGUGGGUAAUCUGCCCCCCGGUCAGGAAUAACCCGCCGAAAGGCGGGCUAAUACCCGAUAACACUGACGCUCUGCGGAGUGUCUUUCAAAGAAGGCCUCUGUUUACAAGCUUUCACCGGAGGAUGAGCCCGCGUACCAUUAGCUAGUUGGCAGGGUAAUGGCCUACCAAGGCAACGAUGGUUAGCUGGUCUGAGAGGAUGACCAGCCACACUGGAACUGAGACACGGUCCAGACUCCUACGGGAGGCUG
rnacentral:rRNA from 1 species